GAUGAACGCUGGCGGCGUGCCUAAUACAUGCAAGUCGAGCGAACGGACGAGAAGCUUGCUUCUCUGAUGUUAGCGGCGGACGGGUGAGUAACACGUGGAUAACCUACCUAUAAGACUGGGAUAACUUCGGGAAACCGGAGCUAAUACCGGAUAAUAUUUUGAACCGCAUGGUUCAAAAGUGAAAGACGGUCUUGCUGUCACUUAUAGAUGGAUCCGCGCUGCAUUAGCUAGUUGGUAAGGUCACGGCUUACCAAGGCAACGAUGCGUAGCCGACCUGAGAGGGUGAUCGGCCGCAUGGGAACUGAGACACGGUCCAGACUACUACGGGAGGCAGCAGUAGGGAAUCUUCCGCAAUGGGCGAAAGCCUGACGGAGCAACGCCACGUGAGUGAUGAAGGUCUUCGGAUCGUAAAACUCUGUUAUUAGGGAAGAACAGAUGUGUAAGUAGCUGUGCACAUCUUGACGGUACCUAAUCAGAAAGCCACGGCUAACUACGUG
rnacentral:rRNA from 1 species